rnacentral:rRNA from 1 species
GAUGAACGCUGGCGGCGUGCUUAGCACAUGCAAGUCGAACGGGAAACCUUUUAUUGAAGCUUCGGCAGAUUUAGCUGGUUUCUAGUGGCGGACGGGUGAGUAACGCGUGGGUAACCUGCCUUAUACAGGGGGAUAACAACCAGAAAUGGUUGCUAAUACCGCAUAAGCGCACAGGACCGCAUGGUCCGGUGUGAAAAACUCCGGUGGUAUAAGAUGGACCCGCGUUGGAUUAGCUAGUUGGCAGGGUAACGGCCUACCAAGGCGACGAUCCAUAGCCGGCCUGAGAGGGUGAACGGCCACAUUGGGACUGAGACACGGCCCAGACUCCUACGGGAGGCAGCAGUGGGGAAUAUUGCACAAUGGGGGAAACCCUGAUGCAGCGACGCCGCGUGAAGGAAGAAGUAUCUCGGGAUGUAAACUUCUAUCAGCAGGGAAGAUAGUGACGGUACCUGACGAAGAAGCCCCGGCUAACUACGUG